rnacentral:tRNA from 1 species
CCGCGCUGGGCGCCCUGGUGAAGGUGUGGCCGGCGCUGGUGCUGCUGGGCACGCCCCGGGGCCGUACGACCCGCUCGGCGUGGAC